UACGUAGGGUGCGAGCGUUGUCCGGAAUUACUGGGCGUAAAGCGUGCGCAGGCGGUUUUGUAAGUCUGUCGUGAAAUCCCCGGGCUCAACCUGGGAAUUGCGUUGGAGACUGCAAGGCUGGAGUCUGGCAGAGGGGGGUAGAAUUCCACGUGUAGCAGUGAAAUGCGUAGAGAUGUGGAGGAACACCGAUGGUGUAGACGGCUCACUGGACCGUAACUGACGCUGAGACACGAAAGCGUGGGUAGCAAACAGG
rnacentral:rRNA from 1 species